AGGAUCCAUUAAGAGAAUUUGUCCAUGAACAUUUGAGUAAGAUUCAUCCAAUCCCAUCAAGAACUGGAUAACCUGUUCUUCGGAUUGAUAUUCAUUUUGCUGUCUAGGUCUAUAAUUUGCCAAUUCUUCCCAAAGACCUUUCAAGCGGGUGAAGUAGGAGAUCACACUUCCAUGGUUCUGUGAAAGAGAGGAGAUUGUCUUCUGCAACUGAUAAAUUCUUGGUCCAUUACUUUGAUUAAACCUUUCUUUCAAGUCUAGCCAUAUUUCCCUGGCUGUCUCCAUGUAGAUUACGCUGAUGCUCAU
rnacentral:lncRNA from 1 species